CAGGUGAAAGCAGGUACAAGAUAGAACAAGAAUGAAGGAUGGGCAGGAGAAAAGUUUUAGAGAGGGGAGAAGACUAGAGCAAGGGAGAGGAGCAGCCAAGAGAAAAUGGAGGCAGAUGUUAAGAUUCCUCUCUGUACAUUUACAGGUUGUUAUGAAUAUUCUUAAGGAAUGGAUGUACACAAGGCUUUGUAUGUCUAGGUGGGCAAUUAUAUCUUAUCAAUUGGAUCAGAGAUUAUUGUGUUGUGUGUUCUUUCAAGUGGCAAUUUAAUUGAAUUCAAGAGAGUAUGUGGUGGCUGGAGACACUGGGCCUCCAUGGAAUUGGGAUGUAUAUGUCUGACAUGGUGGCAACCUGUCUUGGGAACUAGAUGAGUAGAGAGAUUGUUGCCAGACUCAGAGAAUAGCCAUCAGCAGUGUGCUAUGGAGCAAAGUGCUGACUGGGAUGAUAUCUACCAGAUAUUUUGGGGCACUACAGUGCCGGACCUAGUGCAGGAUAAAAGACAGCAUUUUUAAUAAUUUUACAGUAACAGUGAUGUGGUCCGAAAAAUUAAUAAUCAGAAUCUCCAGAACUUGUGAUCACAUGCUUUGUAUGGCAAAAAGGAAUUAAGGAUAAAGGUAGAAUUGGUGUGCUCAUCAGCCUUGAAAUAGUGACAUGAUUCUGGGUUUUCUGGACAGACCUAAGGUAAUACUAGGGUCUUUAUAAGUGGGAGCUGCAGGCAGAGCUCAGAGUGCUAUGAAAUGAGAGGGUUCUGUGGCUCCACAGGCUUUGGAGAGUGAGGAACUGGCAUAGCGCAAGGAGAGCUGUGGCCUUUUGUGAUGGUUUGUAUAUGCUAGGCCCCAGGGAGUGGCACUAUUAGGAGGUGUGGCCUCAUAGAGUAGGUGUGGCCCUGUUGGGGUAGGGGUGUCACUGUGGGCAUGGGCUAUAAAACCCUCACCCUAGCUGCCUGGAAGCCAGUCUUCUGCUAGCAGCCUUCAAUGAAGAUGUAGAACUCAGCUCCUCCUGCACCAUGCCUGCCUGGAUGCUGCCAUGAUCCCACCUUGAUGAUAAUGGACUGAACCUCUGAACCUAAACUAGUGUGAUCUGGACAGUGCUACCCUGUCUGUGUGAAUGGGAGAUAGAGGACUCCAUCUGACAACUCCAUCAGGGACAUUGUGACAUUGCCACCAGGUGCACACACGUCAUGUGUGAAGGUCAGAGGACACCUUGGGUGAGGCGUUUCUCUUCUCCUACCAUACUGGUCCCUCAGACUCAGGUCAUGGGGUUUAGUGGCAAAUGCAUGUACUCACUGAACUAUCUCACUAAAGAACCUCUGCUGAGAUCAGA